UACGUAGGGGGCAAGCGUUGUCCGGAAUUAUUGGGCGUAAAGAGCGCGUAGGCGGUCCGAUAAGUCGGCUGUGAAAGUCCAAGGCUCAACCUUGGGAUGCGGGUGGAUACUGCCGGGCUCGAGUCCGGAAGAGGCGAGUGGAUUUCCUGGUGUAGCGGUGAAAUGCGCAGAUAUCAGGAGGAACACCAAUGGCGAAGGCAGCUCGCUGGGACGUGACUGACGCUGAGACGCGAAAGCGUGGGGAGCAAACAGG
rnacentral:rRNA from 1 species